rnacentral:rRNA from 1 species
GCUCAUGAUUAUUUAAUAGCCGCAGUACCCCGACUGUGCAAGGUAGCAUAAUCAAUUGGCUCAUAAUUGGAGUCUGGAAUGAAGGAAGAACAGGAAGUGACUGUUUCUUAGUAACUAUUAAAUUAUUAGAAGUGAAAUGCUUUUAGAAACAUAAGACGAGAAGACCCUAGAAUUUUUUGUUGAUUCAAUAUAACAUUUUGUUGGGGCGACAGAGUAACAAAUAUAUAUUAACUUACUUGUUUUAUUUGAAGUAUCUCUACGGAUAGAGAAAAUUACUCUAGGGAUAACAGCAUAAUUUUAUAUAAGUUUGUGACCUCCGAUGUUGGAUUAGGAAAAUAUUAAGUUAGAAG